CCUACGGGAGGCAGCAGUUUCGAAUCAUUCACAAUGGGCGAAAGCCUGAUGGUGCGACGCCGCGUGAGGGAUGAAGGUCUUCGGAUUGUAAACCUCUGUCACCGGGGAAGAAACGCUUCAAGUUAAUAGUUUGAAGCCUGACUUAACCCGGAGAGGAAGCAGUGGCUAACUCUGUGCCAGCAGCCGCGGUAAUACAGAGACUGCAAGCGUUAUUCGGAUUCACUGGGCGUAAAGGGUGCGCAGGCGGCCAAGUGUGUGAGGCGUGAAAGCCCGGAGCUUAACUCCGGAAUUGCACCUCAAACUACUUGGCUAGAGCAUUGGAGAGGGUAGCAGAAUUCACGGUGUAGCAGUGAAAUGCGUAGAUAUCGUGAGGAAUACCAGAGGCGAAGGCGGCUACCUAGACAAUUGCUGACGCUCAGGCACGAAAGCGUGGGGAGCAAAGGGAUUAGAUACCCCUGUAGUCCACGCCCUAAACGGUGCACACUAGGUCUUGGCGGAUUCGACCCCACCAGGGCCCAAGCUAACGCGUUAAGUGUGCCGCCUGAGGACUACGGCCCGCAAGGCUAAAACGUUAAAGUAGUAGUAGGACGNGUAGACGAGCGACGGACGGACACGACGGGAGGGAGAGG
rnacentral:rRNA from 1 species